rnacentral:tRNA from 1 species
GCGCUCGUAGCUCAGUUGGAUAGAGCAUCGGCUUGCGGAGCCGGGGGUCACAGGUUCAAAUCCUGUCGGGCGCACCA